AUAAGGACUUUAUCCAUGGAA
rnacentral:miRNA from 2 species